UUAUGGUUUGCAACCAGUUUUAGCCAAUCUGUUUGUGUUGCCACUCCAACUCAGGGAAAGCGUUUCAAAUUUAUGUGGAAUAUCCCAUCUACAAUAUGACCAACUUGUACAUGAAGACAAACAAGCAUAGUUUACCUUCACAAUAAUCCUAGGAGAGUUUGAAUGGACUGCCUUAAUAUUGGAUGAGUUCCCCCUUUGUGGAGGUCUUCAAGCACAAGAUGGACAACCAUUUGUCAGGCAUGUUAUAAUGGAGAUUCUUGUUCAGGUCUCAUAGCAGGCACAAGUCAUCCCAAUUCUCCUUAUCAUCUACCCAGUAGUAUGGAAUGCAAAUAGAAAUGGGGAUCACUAAACAAUACAUAAAGAUCCUUUAAGGAGCACAUUGAGGGUGUGGAGGCCCAAUAGCACCAAGAGAGAGAACAUUUCUGGAUGUGUGCACUGGAGGGGCCAAACCAAGAUUCAAGAAAAAAAAUUUUUUAAUUUAAACUUCGGUUAAAUUCAGAACCAGAUAUGUCCAAAAACAAGUGAGAUAAAGGGCGAGGCACAUACGUGACUGUGAAGUGAAUUGAAGAGAAAAGUAGCUCAAGCUUUGCAGGAGGUCCACAGAGA
rnacentral:lncRNA from 1 species